AAAAAAUCCCAAAAGCUAAAUUUCAGGGAUUUUUGAGUAUCCGUUGGAAAAAAUAAUCUUGAUUCAGUCGAACCGGUGAAGAAAAUGGAAUGUACUUUGGAGGAACAGAUAACCACUCUUUCUUUUACUGGUGAUGAAUCUAUGAUGGAGAUGGGUUCCGGGGAUUACGGGUGCUCGCAUUAUAGAAGGAGAUGCAAAAUU
rnacentral:misc_RNA from 1 species